rnacentral:rRNA from 1 species
GACGAACGCUGGCGGCGUGCUUAACACAUGCAAGUCGAACGGAAAGGCCCUGCUUUUGUGGGGUGCUCGAGUGGCGAACGGGUGAGUAACACGUGAGUAACCUGCCCUUGACUUUGGGAUAACUUCAGGAAACUGGGGCUAAUACCGGAUAGGAGCUCCUGCUGCAUGGUGGGGGUUGGAAAGUUUCGGCGGUUGGGGAUGGACUCGCGGCUUAUCAGCUUGUUGGUGGGGUAGUGGCUUACCAAGGCUUUGACGGGUAGCCGGCCUGGGAGGGUGACCGGCCACAUUGGGACUGAGGUACGGCCCAGACUCCUACGGGAGGCAGCAGUGGGGAAUAUUGCACAAUGGGCGGAAGCCUGAUGCAGCAACGCCGCGUGCGGGAUGACGGCCUUCGGGUUGUAAACCGCUUUCGCCUGUGACGAAGCGGGAGUGACGGUAAUGGGUAAAGAAGCACCGGCUAACUACGUG